rnacentral:lncRNA from 1 species
AGCUCGAGAGAACCUUAAACUCAUCCAUUUCGUGAUAGAUAAAAUUUAAACAAAAGAACAAUUGAAUUUCAUGGCCGAGAAAAUUCGAGCAAGAAAACCUGUCAAUUUCAAGAUAGAGAAAAUUGGAGCAUGAGAACCAGUUGAGCGCAUUGAUUUCAAUACUCGAGCAAGAGAACCUGUUUCAAUUCAAGCAAAGAAAAGAUAUAAUUGAUUGCAGUACUGGAGCAAGAAAACCUGCUUCAAUUCAAGCAAAUGAAAAUAUAUAAUGAAAUGCUAAUCCUAUUUCCUAAUAUGUUUGUUUUUUAACUCCUAGAGGGGCUUUACAGUUAACCUUAUCCAAAGAUACAAAAAUUCAUUUAGGCAUUUCAAGAUUCUUAUUUUAAGUUUAGGAGCAAAAUUCGUUCUCAAUCACCAUCUGAUUUCGACAACAUUAACAUAAUUAUCAUUGAGGAUGAGGCUUAGAUAGAUAGCACGCAAGUAUGCAAUGUUAAUUUCUUAUAUUAAUUUUUAAAAUAUUCAAGAAUGGACAAGUUGCCGCGAAUGCAAAUUUAAAAUGUUAAAAAUUCAUAGGUUAAAAAUAAACGUACUCAUAGUUAUAAUUU